GACGAACGCUGGCGGCGUGCUUAACACAUGCAAGUCGAACGGCAAGGCCCUGCUUGUGUGGGGUGCUGGAGUGGCGAACGGGUGAGUAACACGUGAGUAACCUGCCCUUGACUUUGGGAUAACUUCAGGAAACUGGGGCUACUACCGGAUCGCAGCUCCUGCUGCAUGGUGGGGGUUGGAACGUUUCGGCGGGUGGGGAUGGACUGGCGGCUUAUCAGCUUGUUGGUUGGGUAGUUGAUUACCAAGGCUUUGACGGGUAGGCGGCACUGGAGGGUGGACGGCCACCUGGGGACUGAGAUACGGACCAGACGCGUACGUGGGGCAGCAGUGGGGAAUAUGGCACAAUGGUCGGAAGCCUGAUGAAGAAACCCCGGGGGCGGGAUGACGGCCUGUGGGUUGUAAACAGCUUUAGCCUGUGACGAAGCGUGAGUGACGGUAAUGGAUAAAGAAGCACCGGCUAACUACGUG
rnacentral:rRNA from 1 species